rnacentral:tRNA from 1 species
GCCCAGGUGGUGGAAUUGGUAUACACACACGUUUGAGGGGCGUGGCUCGCAAGAGCGUGCGGGUUCAAGUCCCGCCCUGGGCACAA